UUCUUUCUUUUCUUUUUUUUUUUUUUNUUUUUUUUUACACUUUGUGUUUUGAGCUUGAUCCAGAGUUCAAAUGGGCCGGGUAUUACAUUAAUGGAUUAGGAAAAGGUGCAAUGCGAGAGGUUUUAACAGCAUAUGGAAGAAGGUAAAGGGACGUGGAUUUUUUCCAUAAAAAAAUGGAUGCCCGAGAUCGGCAUUCCUGUCGUGCGAAAGAUUUACCUUUCUUGGCACGCAUUCACCACUGGAUUGCUCACUACAUAAAUAGUUUUCCAGGAAGACGGGCAGUUUUCUCGGCUCCCUUUAGGAAACUUUUCUUUGCUACUCAUAAUGAUCCCAUACUUAUGAAUAAGGGAUAAUAACUCGUAUUUACAAACAAAUCC
rnacentral:lncRNA from 1 species